rnacentral:rRNA from 1 species
CCUACGGGUGGCAGCAGUGGGGAAUUUUGGACAGUGGGCGCAAGCCUGAUCCAGCUAUUCCGCGUGUGGGAUGACGGCCCUCGGGUUGUAAACCACUUUAGUAGAGAACGAAAAGGAGCUAUCGAAUAAAUAGCUCUGCUGACGGUACUCUAAGAAUAAGCACCGGCUAACUACGUGCCAGCAGCCGCGGUAAUACGGAGGAUGCGAGCGUUAUCCGGAUUUAUUGGGUUUAAAGGGUGCGUAGGCGGACUGUUAAGUCAGCGGUAAAAGCCCGGGGCUCAACCCCGGCGAGCCGUUGAAACUGGCUGUCGUGAGAUGUCGAGAGGUAUGCGGAAUGCGCAGUGUAGCGGUGAAAUGCUUAGAUAUUGCGCAGAACUCCGAUUGCGAAGGCAGCAUACCGGCGGCGAUCUGACGCUGAGGCACGAAAGCGUGGGUAUCGAACAGGAUUAGAUACCCCAGUAGUC